GAUGAACGCUGGCGGCGUGCCUAAUACAUGCAAGUCGAGCGAACGGACGAGAAGCUUGCUUCUCUGAUGUUAGCGGCGGACGGGUGAGUAACACGUGGAUAACCUACCUAUAAGACUGGGAUAACUUCGGGAAACCGGAGCUAAUACCGGCUAAUAUUUUGAACCGCAUGGUUCAAAAGUGAAAGACGGUCUUGCUGUCACUUAUAGAUGGUUCCGCGCUGCAUUAGCUAGUUGGUAAGGUAACGGCUUACCAAGGCAACGAUGCAUAGCCGACCUGAGAGGGUGAUCGGCCACACUGGAACUGAGACACGGUCCAGACUCCUACGGGAGGCAGCAGUAGGGAAUCUUCCGCAAUGGGCGAAAGCCUGACGGAGCAACGCCGCGUGAGUGAUGAAGGUCUUCGGAUCGUAAAACUCUGUUAUUAGGGAAGAACAUAUGUGUAAGUAACUGUGCACAUCUUGACGGUACCUAAUCAGAAAGCCACGGCUAACUACGUG
rnacentral:rRNA from 1 species